ensembl:lncRNA novel transcript
CUCUUUCCUGUGAGCUUCUGCAAGGUCUGCAGCAAAUACCUCACAAGCGUUGGGGAAAAAGGAUGUAUGUUCCCUGCCUCUGAAGAAACAGGCCUGACGGUUGGGAAGCACACCCUUCCCCUCUCAGAGGCUUUCUCAUCGGCUCUUCCUCAUCGGCUGCUUCUUGGGAGAGUGCUGCGGUUUGGGCUGUUUUAGUCUCCAAGGGGAUGGGUGAUUUAUAUCCUUUUAUUCGGCAAACAGCUUUGUACAGAAUGAAUACCGCUUGCUGAAUGUCACCAGGCGGGGGCAGGGGAGCCGUAUAGAAUCCCAGUGAAGCCUUCCAGGCCUGGGCAAAAUGGCACCUGGCGACUCGAUGAGGACACCGAGGCCCAGAGAGGUGUCCUGCCAAAGCCACACAGCACAGAGGAGCAGAGCCCGGGUCCAGCUAUUUCUCCUAUCUCACCACGCUGCCUCUUCUCACUGGAAGAGUGUACCAACGCGGGAGUCUGGCCCCUACCCAUCCCAAGCCUGAUCCCUACCUAAGGUCCACAGAGCGUCUCCACCAGCAGCUCCAGGAGGGAUGAUAAAUUGUCAAAAGCCACCAAGAGUCAGGGACAGGAACUCAGUUCUGCCCAGCUGAGGGCUGUGCAGGGAUUUCAAGGUACCUGUGCGAACCCCAGCCCUCACUCAUUGAACUCAGUCAGAAAACCACCGCGUCAGUGGAUUUAGAAAUGUGACAGGGAUUUCAGAGGGCAAUGGGUCCAGCCCUCACAACCCAGCACCACUCUGCAGGCAUGGAAACGCAGGCCCAGAGGACAGGGGCUUCUCAAUAUGGGCACACAGCACCAAGACAGCUCCAUAAAUAGAAGUGAAAUAUCCAAGCUCCCACUCCAGGGAAGCUGACCACUGGGUGGAUGACUCCCCCAGCGUCCAAACCCUCUCUGGCAGUCCCUUGCUGCUCCAGGAGCGAGGAUGAAAGGGAGAGCUCUUCCCAGGGCCUCCGGGGAGACACUUCUGCUGACUGUCCCCAAGGAGAAAGAGGGGAGAGAAAUGAGGGAGGGUCCCUGAAGAAUGGAGACCUUCAAGAAGGAGGCCAACCUCGGGGACCAGUGGAAGCCAGAAAGAGCACGGGGGCAUGGCAGGGGCUGAAGCCGAUGUCCCAGGGAAGGAGUAGCUGCAAGGCCCCUCAGCCUCAGAGGAGCGCCAGCCCCGCCCUGCCAUUCUGGACAAGGCAUGAGUGUGAAGAGACUCUUGCCUGUCCACACUAUCAAGGCUGAGCGGGGGCAAAGGCAGCCCCCUGGGGGUCCCCACCCUGCUACUGGACUUUAAAACCAUUUUCUUUGGUUUUAAAGAAACAAUUUUUCUUUGGUCAUGAUUUUGUUGGUAGAUUUAUCUUUAUGGAAUUGUAGUAUUUUCUUGCUCUAAAACCCUCAGUUUAACCCCUUCUUUUUUCUGUCUCACAUUUUUGCCUCCAGCGAUAUGAAAAUGAACCUUGGAGAAUGGGAGGGUCCUGGGGGAGGGGGGCUGAGGGGCUCUUCACCAGGCAGAGAUGAACCCCAGUGCUGACACAAGCCCUUUCCUUUUCCUGGUUUCUCUUGCCCUGGAGAGUGACAGGCAGAAAGGGCUUUUUGUCUCUUUGGACCAUUUCUGUAUCCCUGCUGCCUCAAACGAAGCCUGGCCUGGGGCGAACUCAAUCAAUGACUCUGACGGGAGACAGGGCUCCGGCCCACUGGGGUGAUGGGCUAAAGAGGGGAUUCUGGUUCCUGUGGACAAUCUGGAAGCUGGAAGCUGUUAGAACUGGAGCGAGGAUUUCACCAAGGAGCUCACAGAGAGAGCCCGGGCAGGAACUCUCCAAUCAUCUGGCGGCUGAGGCCCUUUCGCUGGAGGAGGAAAUGGGCCACACCGAUGGGGGUGUCCGGGAUGAAGCCGCGUGAGAUCAGGAACUGGAUGCCCUUGUCGGGGUUUCUGGAGGUGGGGGUGGGGAGAAGCAGUAGAGAGUGAGCUGAAGCCAUCCAUGACUCUUUCCUCCCUGUCUUCCACCCAUAGAAGUACCCAGAGGUUCUUGGAAAUCCAGUUCCCCAUUGAAGCUUCUCUCACCAGAGCCUCAACCCACUGAAUGUCCUCACGCAGAGGAUGGUGUGUGACCAGAAGGAGGACAGGGGAGAUCUGCAAACAAAGUCCCCACCGCAGACGCCCCAACCCUGGAGAGAGGGUGGGAGAAACAGAGGUGAGACCUCCGCCACACCACCUCUUCCCUUUGCAAGCUUUGAAGCCAUGCUGCUCCCUGAGCUGUUCCUCACAGGUCCGGGAGGAGAUAAGUACAGAAACACAAGGUCUGCCGAGUACUAGCUAUUUCAUCGUGUGCAUUUCGCCUUACUGGUGUGAGCCGGCUUCUUUUCUGUAAAACAGCAUGGUAAUACCUCUGUGUAGAUACUGCUGGAAGAUUACAGAUGCUUUAUGUAAGGGAGCACAUGGUCUUGAGGCUCCACGUGCUGAGCGCGUCGUCGAUGGACUUGGCCAGGGAUUGCACCUGCUCGGUGAAGGAGUCCUCCAGCUCGGCUCUCGGCCGUGGGUGACCGCACCUUGCGCAGGGAGAUCCGCCGUGGCAGGCGGCUCUCCAGAAGCGAGUUGCGGAUUUUCUCGAAGUUCUUGCUGAGCUGGUAUUGGCGGAAGGCGGUUUGGAUGGUGCAAGCGGCGCGCCGGGACACCAGUUCAUGUCAGAGAUGCAUACAGAAGUACUUAUGGGUAAAAUGCAUGAUAUCUUGAAGUUGUGUUAAAAUAUUCUGUCAAAAAAUGUGGAAGAGUUAGAUGACACAAUAUUAAUGUUAAUAAAUAUUAAUAAAAUGGUUACAGCUGGAUGAUAGCUACGGGGGAGUUUAUAACACUGUCGUUUCUACUUUUGUGCACACUUUAAAACAAUAAACAAUG